rnacentral:rRNA from 1 species
AAGGAACGCUGGCGGCAUGCCUAACACAUGCAAGUCGAACGAGACCUUCGGGUCUAGUGGCGCAGGGGUGCGUAACGCGUGGGAACCUGCCCUUAGGUUCGGAAUAACUCCCCGAAAGGGGUGCUAAUACCGGAUAAUGUCUUCGGACCAAAGAUUUAUCGCCUUUGGAUGGGCCCGCGUUGGAUUAGCGGGUUGGUAGGGUAAAAGCCUACCAAGGCGAGGUUGCAUGGCUGGUAUGAGAGGAUGACAAGCCACGCUGGGACUGAGACACGGCCCAGAAUCCUACGGAAGGGAGCAGUAGGGAAUACUGGACAAUGGGCGAAAGUCUGACACAGCAAUGCCGGGUGAGUGAGGAAGGCGUUAGGGUUGUAAAGCUGUUUUAGCCGGGAUGAUAAUGACAGUACCGGGAGAAUAAGCACCGGCUAACUACGUG